rnacentral:tRNA from 1 species
GCGCCAGUAGCCUACCCUGGUAGGGCGUCAGCUUCCCAAGCUGAAAGCCCGGGUUCAAAUCCCGGCUGGCGCA